rnacentral:rRNA from 1 species
GAACGCGAAGAACCUUACCAGGUCUUGACAUCCCUCUGACCACUCUAGAGAUAGAGUUUUCCUUCGGGACAGAGGUGACAGGUGGUGCAUGGUUGUCGUCAGCUCGUGUCGUGAGAUGUUGGGUUAAGUCCCGCAACGAGCGCAACCCCUAUUGUUAGUUGCCAUCAUUUAGUUGGGCACUCUAGCGAGACUGCCGGUAAUAAACCGGAGGAAGGUGGGGAUGACGUCAAAUCAUCAUGCCCCUUAUGACCUGGGCUACACACGUGCUACAAUGGCUGGUACAACGAGUCGCAAGCCGGUGACGGCAAGCUAAUCUCUUAAAGCCAGUCUCAGUUCGGAUUGUAGGCUGCAACUCGCUACAUGAAGUCGGAAUCGCUAGUAAUCGCGGAUCAGCACGCCGCGGUGAAUACGUUCCCGGGUCUUGUACACACC